CCCUGAUACUUUAAGUAUCCUAAAGGGUUGUCGGAGACUACGACGUUGAUAGGUCAGGUGUGUAAGUGCUGUGAGGCAUUGAGCUAACUGAUACUAAUUGCCCGUGAGGCUUAACCAUACAACACCCAAGGGGUUU
rnacentral:rRNA from 1 species